UGAUAAUUUUAACAUUUGAAAUUAACUUAAAAUGAAAACUCUCCAAAAUAAAAACAAAAAAGGAAUUUUAUUUUUUUUCCUCUAAGAAAAUAAUAUAACUCAGAUUUAUGCUUUCAAUUUUUCCUUAAGAGAACUCUUAAAGCAAAUGUCAUAUACCCGAUUCUCCCCUCAGAUAACCCUAGUCCUGACAAAAAAUUGAAGAUGCCGACGACGAUCCCCACCCAGAUGGAGAUUUUCCCCUGUUGUGUUGAAGAGCCCAAACGUCUUCUUGAGCAAAUUUCGCUCCUAACCUGGUCUUCUCUCUCGGCAAACAAACUUAGGGAAUAAGGUUCUUCAACAAAGGAGUUGAUGUUGGCCGAGGAGAAGUUCGAAGGCAUUUGAUUAUUUUUUUCAUGUGUAUACAUGAUUACAAUGUAUUACGGAGUGUUGUGUACUUUGUUACAUAAAUUAUUUGGCAAUGAAAAGUUCUUAUCUCAUUCUUUUUA